UUGCCUUUGGUCACCCAACCUUGGCCAGUCUCCUCAUGCAUUUUGUUACGGCUCUUCGUGCAUUUGGGUACCCAGAUCCCACAAAUGGUGUUGGUUUAUUAAGACAGUAGGACGAUGGUCAUGGAAGUCAAAAUAUUCUAAGGAGUGUGUAACAACUCACCUGCCGAAUCAACUAGCCCUGAAAAUGGAUGGCACUGAAGUGUGUGACCUAUACUCGACUGUCGGAGCAAUUUCUAGGCUUUGAGGAGUAGGAGGACGCGGGGGUCAUUGAGAAACCUUGG
rnacentral:ncRNA from 1 species